rnacentral:lncRNA from 1 species
UUGAGUAGGUUUGUAUGUUUCGUGAGGAUUUGGGUACAGUAAUAAGAAGAUAGGAUUAAAGAAACGUUUUAUUAGGUAGAACAAGCGAGAGUAAGCAAGGUUACAAAGUAUUAGGUAAGAAUCCUAAUUCUAGCUGUCUAACCUGAGUCUCUAAGCCUUGAAGAAGUUGAUCCCUUGCUUUUGCGACUUAGGAGCCCUUAUAUAAUCGCCUUGAAGUCGGUUUGAUUUAGGUUGAACUCUUCCAUAUUCGGAGAAAUGGAAGGUUCUCCUUAUCGGAAAUCUUCCAUUUCUUGGAAGGGAGGUCGGUCCUAGGGACUGGUCCCAGGGUUCCUUUUUGCGGGAACAUGGAGCGUUCUUUUAUCGGGGACCCGGGGGCUUGGGUCCUCCCCGGAGGCUGGAGGAAAUGAUGCCGGAGUAUUUUUCCCUAACAGUGGUCGACAUCGGUCCUCAGGGGGUCCUUCACAUGAUUUGAGGUCCG